UCUGGUGCGGCCAACCGACAUGGGGCUGUCUCUUCACUCUCCCUCCCGUCAUUUGAUUUGUCGGGGCUGGGAUGCUCGUGAUCGGUUGCCUGUGCGGCUCUACCCUGCUGUGGGUAGCGAAGUUGUCCCUCGAUUGAUAUUUGCUUGCCUCUCUGACAUUUUUUUGUCGUUUGGGCAGCCGAAAUGAUGGCGAAAUCCUUGUGCAGGUGCGUGGUCGAAUGGCCCCGUUGCUGUCACUUGGAAUUUUGCUGGCUCUCACGGACGCAGUGCCCAGUGCUGGCUCUGCGUGGCUUUGCCCCGCAGACUUCGGGAGGUCCCUUGUACGAAUCACUGCGAUCAGAUGCCGUUUGUCGUGUUGCUUGUUUGGCACGCAAAUCGUAUUGUUCUGCCGGAGUCGGGAUGACGAAAGUCAGAACGAAGUGUCUGGGGCGUGCUUUCGUACAUGGGGAAUGCCUCUUCGAUCGUAUGAGUAGCGAUUUUCGGCUCGCGUCAUUUGAAGUCCUGCCCGUUUGGGUUGGUGCGGAAGCUG
rnacentral:misc_RNA from 1 species